UACGGAGGGUGCAAGCGUUAUCCGGAUUCACUGGGUUUAAAGGGUGCGUAGGUGGGCAGGUAAGUCAGCGGUGAAAUCCCCGAGCUUAACUUGGGAACUGCCAUUGAUACUAUCUGUCUUGAAUACCUUGGAGGUGAGCGGAAUAUGUCAUGUAGCGGUGAAAUGCUUAGAUAUGACAUAGAACACCAAUUGCGAAGGCAGCUCGCUGGGACGUUACUGACACUGAGGCGCGAAAGCGUGGGGAGCGAACAGG
rnacentral:rRNA from 1 species